AUGACAGGAAACAACCGUACGUCUGGGAGUCCUAUAAAUUCAAACCCGGAAUUCUCAGAAACCCAAAGUCCAAGCUCUGAAACAAUGCCGGAAUAUGUUCGUGCUGCUGUUCAUCCAAUACUUGUUCUCUAUGAUUAUUCACAUGUGAGAAACAAAUCCAAGAGAAGCCCCUGUGUUAAAUUCACACGGUUAUAUACAGAUUUGACACUGCAGCCCGCACUCUGCAGAAUGCACAGCCUGAGAAUAAUUAGGCUUAGCGCAUCACAAAAUAAACUUCCACUUGCAUUACUGCCGACAACCAAUGAUUCCUUGGGGAUUAAGUCUGCAGUCUGCAUAGUAGUACUACGUACUCCCUGA
rnacentral:rRNA from 1 species